CACCUCAUGGUGCAACAGUAGCGCGCCUGACUCCAGAUCAGAGGCUGUGUGUUUGAGUCACGAUGGGGUCA
rnacentral:tRNA from 1 species